AGCUUCUCUUGAAAAUUUCUUU
rnacentral:tRNA from 1 species